rnacentral:misc_RNA from 1 species
GGAUCCCAAUCCCCUGGAUCUGGCAAUGACAGGCUAGUAUCAGGCUUAUCAUGAGGUGGUCCUACAUUAUGAGAGAAUUGCAUACUAGAGUGCUUGAACGAGCCUGGCAUGUUCUGAAUGGCAGAAUGACCCGCAGAAAUUCCACUACCUCCAUGUUGCUGCAUCCAAUUUGCAGUGCUAGAAUUUGACUGCCGAAGUGAGGGUGAACUUCCAAGCACUGAAGGAUUUCCCUCAGGUUGGGUAGCACUGGUGCCAUCAGCAUAUUGUCCUUGCCAAUGCAAAGAUGGCAUACUCUCUUGAGAACUUCCAGAAUACCCCCAACAUUUUCUUCUAUUGAAUUGGGUAACUGCAG